AGCAGCGUAGCUCAGUGGAAGAGCAGGGCGCUCAUAACGCCUCGGUCGCAGGUUCAAUCCCUGCCGCUGCGACCA
rnacentral:tRNA from 1 species